rfam:Felis catus isolate Cinnamon breed Abyssinian chromosome A1, whole genome shotgun sequence.
GCCUGGGUGGCUCAGUCGGUUAAGCAUCUGGCUUCGGCUCAGGUCAUGAUCUCGCAGAUCGUGGGUUCAAGCCCCGCAUCGGGCU